GCCACUUUCCCAAAAGUGCUGGGUUCUAACGUUAGAGAUCCACUCCGUCUGUUUUCUGUUUCACACUUCGUGAUUCCUCACGCAGGAAAUGGCCCAAAGCAGUAACUGCGUUUGGAAAACAACAACAACAACAACUAAGCUAAGCAAUAAAACGCUCGGACUGCUACACUCAGUAGGAUAAGCAACAGAAUAGAGAGAUCCUACAGAAAAGAGAUCCGAGUUUAUCCCGUUGUUUUGUAACAACUUUGUGUCUUCAUGUGACACUAGACCCUUUCCCCACAGAAGAAAUCUGAUGAAGAGAUUUACAUAAAGACCAGGGUAAUUGGAUCAAACAAUGAAAAAAAUGCUGGAAAGAUUACAUGCAUUCAGGUUGUUAUCAACAUAUUUGAAGAUUUCUUCAUAUGAAGAUUGAAAAAUGUGGAUAAUGAGGUCUUCUUAUGGCUUGGGAGACAAAAAGGACUGAUAACUGUUUCAUUACCAAG
ensembl:lncRNA